UAUAAAUAUAUUAAUUUGCCUCCACUUCAAUAUCCUUUCCAAAAACUCAACUUCCUCACUCCCCUUAGAAUACUUUUCAAAAUCAUGUAUAUUUUGAUCUGAGAUUCCAAAAAAUUCUGGUAGCCACAUGAACAUGACAAAUAUAUAAGCCAAAGUAGAGCAUCUAUUUUUUUAUCUUUAUAAUGUGCAUUUGAAAUGAUAUAAAAGGUUAUAUAGCAGACUAAAAGUCUAGUUUUGGCAAGUUAUUUACUAU
rnacentral:lncRNA from 1 species